UACAGAGGGUGCGAGCGUUAAUCGGAGUUACUGGGCGUAAAGGGCGCGUAGGCGGAUACAAGAGUGUGAUGUGAAAGCCCUGGGCUUAACCUGGGAAGUGCAUCGCAAACGCUGUAUCUGGAGUAUAUGAGAGGGUGGCGGAAUUUCCGGUGUAGCGGUGAAAUGCGUAGAGAUCGGAAGGAACGUCGAUGGCGAAGGCAGCCACCUGGCAUAAUACUGACGCUGAGGCGCGAAAGCGUGGGGAGCGAACAGG
rnacentral:rRNA from 1 species